AUGACCCAGAAUGAAAGAUGGGACUCAGUAGUGCUUUUUCCCUCUUCAGGAAGUGUUUUAGAUCACAGUUUGGAAAGCCUCAUCCACCGCCUUCGUGGUUUGUGUGACAACAUGGAACCUGAGACUUUCCUUGACCAUGAAAUGGUGUUUCUCCUUAAGGGUCAGCAAGCCAGCCCAUUUGUUCUGAGGGCUCGGCGCUCUAUGGACAGGGCAGGGGCACCCUGGCAUCUACGCUACCUAGGACAGCCAGAAAUGGGAGAUAAGAACCGCCAUGCCCUAGUGAGAAACUGCGUGGACAUUGCCACAUCUGAGAACCUCACCGACUUCUUGAUGGAAAUGGGCUUCCGCAUGGACCAUGAGUUUGUCGCCAAGGGACACUUGUUCCGUAAGGGCAUCAUGAAGAUUAUGGUGUACAAGAUUUUCCGCAUCCUAGUGCCAGGGAACACAGAUAGUACUGAGGCUUUGUCGCUCUCCUAUCUUGUGGAAUUAAGUGUUGUUGCACCGGCUGGGCAGGACAUGGUCUCUGAUGACAUGAGGAACUUUGCUGAGCAGCUGAAACCUCUGGUUCACUUAGAGAAAAUAGACCCCAAAAGGCUCAUGUGACUAAGAAGGUCUGCACAUCUUUGGGGCCUGUCCUUACCUAUU